rnacentral:rRNA from 1 species
ACUCCUACGGGAGGCAGCAGUGGGGAAUAUUGCACAAUGGGCGGAAGCCUGAUGCAGCGACGCCGCGUGAGGGAUGACGGCCUUCGGGUUGUAAACCUCUUUCAGCAGGGACGAAGCGUAAGUGACGGUACCUGCAGAAGAAAGCACCGGCUAACUAUGUGCCAGCAGCCGCGGUAAUACGUAGGGUGCGAGCGUUGUCCGGAAUUACUGGGCGUAAAGAGCUCGUAGGCGGUUUGUCACGUCGUCUGUGAAAUCCUAGGGCUUAACCCUGGACGUGCAGGCGAUACGGGCUGAC